rnacentral:rRNA from 1 species
CGCUUUUCUGUACCGUAAAGGUGGUACAGGAACAAGUGCUGGGCAAGACCGGUGCCAGCCGCCGCGGUAAUACCGGCAGCACGAGUGAUGGCCGCUAUUAUUGGGCCUAAAGCGUCCGUAGCCGGCCGAGCAAGUUCGUUGGGAAAUCUGCCCGCUUAACGGGCAGGCGUCCGGCGAAAACUGUUCGGCUUGGGGCCGGGAGAUCUGAGGGGUACGUCCGGGGUAGGAGUGAAAUCCCGUAAUCCUGGACGGACCACCGGUGGCGAAAGCGCCUCAGAAAAACGGACCCGACGGUGAGGGACGAAAGCUAGGGUCUCGAACCGGAUUAGAUACCCGGGUAGUCCUAGCCGUAAACGAUGCUCGCUAGGUGUGGCGCAGGCUACGAGCCUGCGCUGUGCCGUAGGGAAGCCGUGAAGCGAGCCGCCUGGGAAGUACGUCUGCAAGGAUGAAACUUAAAGGAAUUGGCGGGGGAGCACUACAACCGGAGGAGCCUGCGGUUUAAUUGGACUCAACGCCGGACAUCUCACCAGCACCGACAGUGUGCAGUGAAGGUCAGGUUGAUGACCUUACUGGAGCCACUGAGAGGAGGUGCAUGGCCGCCGUCAGCUCGUACCGUGAGGCGUCCUGUUAAGUCAGGCAACGAGCGAGACCCGCAUCCCUAGUUGCCAGCAGCAACCUUGCGUUGGCUGGGUACACUAGGGAGACUGCCGCUGCCAAAGCGGAGGAAGGAACGGGCAACGGUAGGUCAGUAUGCCCCGAAUGUGCUGGGCAACACGCGGGCUACAAUGGCCGGGACAGUGGGACGCGACCCCGAGAGGGAGAGCUAAUCUCCUAAACCCGGUCGUAGUUCGGAUUGCGGACUGAAACUCGUCCGCAUGAAGCUGGAUUCGGUAGUAGUCGCGUGUCAUUAGCGCGCGGCGAAUACGUCCCUGCUCCUUGCACACACCGCCCGUCAAAGCACCCGAGUGAGGUCCGGAUGAGGCCGCCAUGCGGUGGUCGAAU